rnacentral:misc_RNA from 1 species
UAAAAUAGCUAUGCACCAACAAGCAAUCUAAUAACUCAUUUGGCAGCACUUCCUUUUGCCAAGUUACAUUUGAAUUGUAUUCAUUUCAGUUGUAAAAUCCAAUUCACACCUCUAAGCCUAAAUGUUGUGAAAUUAGAAUAACGCCUAAACAUUCCAUUUGGAAGAAUUUAAUUGAAUUGAAUUCUUGCAUUCUGGGGUUACCAAACAGGCUAAAAAUGAUUUAGCAAUUGGCAGUGGAGUAACAAGACAAAGACAGCAUUGGUAAGUAACAUUUUACAAUUGCAAACACAUGCAAUGGCAGUGGUAAUUCAAAUGUGAAGGCGGGCAGGAAUAGUGUUAUAUAAUCGAAAUUGUGUAUUCAAAGAUGGACAAACCCAGUUGUGGGAUCAAACAGUUACUAUCAAUCCUCAAGUCUUGGGAAUGUUUACAUAAUUCUGACUACAAUGAAGAAACACUUGCUAAAAACAUGUUCCCCAACUUCAUACAAAGUUCCUACGAUUUAAUUUUAAUAUGUUUUCUCUCACAUAUCAUUGAAGAUGACAAUUCCAUUCAUAAUUUCAGCUUCCCAACAAUUUUAUUUCUGCAAUAAGCAGUAAAGCAGGAAAGUGAACUACACAUGUUACAAGCUUGAUGAACACUGAUAAGCCUUGGAUAGACCUAACCAUCAAUUUUAUUAGAAAACUUGCAUAGUAUAAGAUUGAGAAAUAUACCAUCUGUGUAGCUUU